UGGUUUAGGGGAUGAUCCAAAGCCCAUUGAGGUCAAUAGGAGUCCGCCUAAUUACUUCAGUAGGCUUUGGAUCAACCCUUUCUACA
rnacentral:pre_miRNA from 1 species